CCUACGGGUGGCUGCAGUGGGGAAUAUUGGGCAAUGGGCGCAAGCCUGACCCAGCAACGCCGCGUGAAGGAAGAAGGCUUUCGGGUUGUAAACUUCUUUUGACAGGGAAGAGUAGAAGACGGUACCUGUCGAAUAAGCCACGGCUAACUACGUGCCAGCAGCCGCGGUAAUACGUAGGUGGCAAGCGUUGUCCGGAUUUACUGGGUGUAAAGGGGGUGUAGGCGGGUUGACAAGUCAGAUGUGAAAUCCUGGGGCUUAACCGCAGAACUGCAUUUGAAACUGGUGGACUUGAGGACUGGAGAGGGAGGUGGAAUUCCUAGUGUAGCGGUGGAAUGCGUAGAUAUUAGGAAGAACAACGAUGGCGAAGGCGGUCUGCUGGACAGCAACUGACGGUGAGGCGCGAAAGCGUGGGGAGCAAACAGGAUUAGAUACCCUUGUAGUC
rnacentral:rRNA from 1 species